rnacentral:rRNA from 1 species
AGCAGGGAAGAAGCGAAAGUGACGGUACCUGCAGAAAAAGCGCGGGCUAACUACGUGCCAGCAGCCGCGGUAAUACGUAGGGCGCAAGCGUUAUCCGGAAUUAUUGGGCGUAAAGAGCUCGUAGGCGGUUUGUCGCGUCUGCUGUGAAAUCCGGAGGCUCAACCUCCGGCCUGCAGUGGGUACGGGCAGACUAGAGUGCGGUAGGGGAGAUUGGAAUUCCUGGUGUAGCGGUGGAAUGCGCAGAUAUCAGGAGGAACACCGAUGGCGAAGGCAGAUCUCUGGGCCGUAACUGACGCUGAGGAGCGAAAGGGUGGGGAGCAAACAGGCUUAGAUACCCUGGUAGUCCACCCCGUAAACGUUGGGAACUAGUUGUGGGGUCCAUUCCACGGAUUCCGUGACGCAGCUAACGCAUUAAGUUCCCCGCCUGGGGAGUACGGCCGCAAGGCUAAAACUCAAAGGAAUUGACGGGGACCCGCACAAGCGGCGGAGCAUGCGGAUUAAUUCGAUGCAACGCGAAGAACCUUACCAAGGCUUGACAUAUACGAGAACGGGCCAGAAAUGGUCAACUCUUUGGACACUCGUAAACAGGUGGUGCAUGGUUGUCGUCAGCUCGUGUCGUGAGAUGUUGGGUUAAGUCCCGCAACGAGCGCAACCCUCGUUCUAUGUUGCCAGCACGUAAUGGUGGGAACUCAUGGGAUACUGCCGGGGUCAACUCGGAGGAAGGUGGGGAUGACGUCAAAUCAUCAUGCCCCUUAUGUCUUGG